rnacentral:tRNA from 1 species
AAGGGAGACCUAAUUCGGGUAUAAGACGAAAAAAUAGUAGUCGAAACCAAGAAUCAAUCCCAAAAGGUCGGAACGAGGUAUGUGGCUUUCAAACUAGGUUCUGGGUUCAUAAAAGACCUGAAUCAGGAACAAGGGCUAUUAGCUCAGGUGGUUAGAGCGCACCCCUGAUAAGGGUGAGGUCCCUGGUUCGAGUCCAGGAUGGCCCACCUGCACAGGUGGUAAAAACAAGAGAAGCGAGGAAUCAGCACCUUAUCUUACUUAUAUAGUAAGAGAGAAUGCUGGCUCUGAGUAAAGAGUCCAGAGGAACCUUGAAAACUGCAUAGAGCUAGGUGAAAAAGCCAAAAAAGAAGACCGCAA